AAUGACAUAGCAGAGAGAAUAUGAGUUUGCAGGUAAAAGAGACUUGGAUUGAAUUUUCAGUCUGAUGUUUCACAAUGGAAAAGCUAUUGAUACCUCAUUUUCUUGUUGGUAGAAUGAAGAUAGUGAUGCCUAUUUAAAGGGUGGUUGUAAGGAUUAAAGAAGAUGACAGACCCGUUACCUGGUGACACUUUUGACACAUUAGAUUCUUGGUGAGGGUCAGGUCCUAGUUCAUUUCUAGUCCCCCCCGCAACCUUUUUUUUUUUUUUUUUUAAAGGGAUCACACCUUUUUAUCCUGGCUUAAAAUCUAAAUCCCUUCCUGCUAGGAGUUGGUGAUCCUUCCCAAACUGUAUGCAAAAUUUAGUAUGUUUGUACAUGUUCAUUUUGCGAGAAAAUAUCCCUGUGUAUUAGUUCCUUUUCAAACUGUUAUAAAGAACUACCUGAGACUGGGUAGUUUAUGAAGAAAAGGGGUUUAAUUGACUCACAGUUCCGCACAGCUGGGGUGGCCUCAGGAAACUUACAUUUUUGGCAGAAGGAGAAGGGGAAGCGAGGCACGCGGCAAGAUGCAGGGGAAGUGCCACACUUUUAAAUCAUCAGAUCUCGUGAGAACUCACUUACUAUCAGGAGAACAGCCUGGGGGAAACCACCCCCUUGAUCCAAUCACCUCCCACCAGGCCCCUCCCCAUGGGGAUUACAAUUCGAGAUGAGAUUUGGGUGGGGACACAGAGCAAAAUCAUAUCACCCUGGCUUCCAUCAGAUUUCAAAGAAAUCCAUGAUUCAAAGGCAAUUUAGAACCACUGGGAGAUUGUUUUUCAUUCAUUCAACAGUAUUUACUGAAUAUCCACUAUGGGUCAAGCGUUUUGCUCAGAUAAACCAUGUCCCUGACUUUCAGGAAGGUACAGCCUAGACUGGUGAAUAAAAGUAUGACCUGUUUUGUGAAUCUGUGUGUUAUCACGCUAUUAUUAGGUUGGUGCAAAAGUAAUUGCGGCUUUUGCCAUUGAAAGUAAUUACUUUUGCACCAAUUUCAUGCUUACAUGUAUGGAGAUGACACAUCAGAGAGAAAGGAGAGUACAUGAAACAAAAAGCAGAAGAAUCCAGGCAGUUGAGUGGACAUGAAAAAGAGGCCCUGUAAGCAAGGAACAGGCAUCAAGAAAAUAAACCUUCCUGACUUUGACUGACAGCCAGCUGCUAUAUUAAGGUGUAGGAUUGUGUAGGUUCUGCCCCACGGAAGUGCCGGCCAAGGGGUGAGUGGAGAGGGUUGGGAUGGGGAGGUGAUGAGAUGCAGCUUGAGCUCCCUUCAGCAAGCUGGGAGCCCUCAAGACUCUGCCUACCUGGAGAGAGUAACUUUUUCUAAUAUGCUUCAAGGUGCUAUGAGAGGCUGCCAGCCCAGUGUAUUGCUGCUACACAGAGAGUCAGAUUUUCCUUUAGGAGCUGAGCUGUUAAACUUGAAAGUAGAUCAACUCUAGUUCUGAAAAAGAAAAAAAAAAAAAGUGGGUUCUUUGGCUCUUUGCUCAAUUGAUCCCUUAGAGGACACGAUCAAGAUAACUAACAGUUGGGUCACUAUGUCAACAGUGUUUGGAGAACAAAGGAGGUGUCAUUCAGCCUCACACCUUUCCAGGCAGCUAGUAAGGUGAGUUGGAAAAAUCCUAAUGCAGGAGAGGAAUUUGUUUUUUUUGCAACUUGGUCCUCUUAUUUUAUAGAUGAAGAAACUGGGACCCAGGAUGAUUAUUUCCCAGCCUUUUCUUAAGCAUGCAGCUGGAGAGUGGAUGGUAAAGGCAGGAGGCCUUGGAGGAUUCGUUGUACUCACUAUGAGCACUUGACAAUGGGAAGGGGCCCCUAAACCAUCCCCUGCCCCUAAGUCUGUGGAAAAGUGAAACAAAUCCCUGAGACCACUGCCCCAACCCUUAUUUUGCACAUUUAUUGUCAUGUUGUUUUUGAUUAAGAUUCCAGUGCUUCUUGUAUCUUAUUCUUUCCAC
rnacentral:lncRNA from 1 species